UUAAGGAGAAGCAAGUGGAACAAAAGACUGUUUUAUUUUCUUUCUUUUUUUCCCCCUCUUCAUAUUUUCAGCACCCUGCAAUCAGGGCAUCUUGUUAGCUUUGGAUUCAGGUUAGACUUGUUGCAGGAGACAACUCCCUCUCUUCCUCCACCCUCCUGAUGUCUCACAUCUCCUCCACUCAUUUGUUCACACUUCUGUCACCAUUUCCAUUUUUUUUCUUUUUAAACGGGUGACACACAGCAUUUGUCUCCAAGGAGUGACUGUCUCUCUCCCGGGCCACGGCCUUUAGUCCUUCCUUGAUUCCUUCUUUCCCUCCCUCCCUUACUCGCCUUCUACUGACAGAGCAAACACGCCCUGCUGCAGCCCUUGAGCAGGGCACGCCGCGAUUGUUCGGGAGGAUUAUGGAGAAAAGGAGUGUGCGAUUCCUCUAAUUCCCUGACGAGUCAGGACUUGUAGACUGAAACUGGGCACGAGACGGAGAAAGCAAAAAGGAGGGAGUGGAAGACUCAAGUAGGUUAUGGCUGAAAGGGCAAAUAAAGAAGAGAACACAAAGUGAUCGAUGGGAAAUGAAAGCAUGCAGUGAGAAAAAAAAACAACGACAACGUGCACAGGACGGGCAUGCCUGCAAAAGCGGCGAGACAUUGUGGUGGUCUGAACAUGUUCCCGGCUUUUUAUUUGAGAUGACGAAACAACAGCCCUGGAAAGUUCUCCUCCUCCACUAUCCCACGGGAAUAUCCGCCGAGGAAAAGGGAUGGAGAACUGAUUGUGGAUGAGGAAAAGCUCGAGGGAGGUGAAGGGGUAAAUGUCAGGGAGGUGAUUUGGGUUGAAGAAAAAGAAGCAGAGAGGGGGAAAUGUUUAUCAUGAAGAAUCACUGCCUGCCUCAUUGACGUGUGAUGAUAGGUCCAAGCUGCGCUCACGCCUGGU